GCGGCUGUUCAUUCAUCCAGUGGGAAUAGCACAACCUGUUGAUUUGCAUUGAUUGUAUCGCUUAAAUCAACACAAUGAAAUACAAAAAAGUCAGGAUUGUGAUUCCUGUUGUCGUGGGUUCGAGCCCCAUCAGCCACCCCA
rnacentral:tRNA from 1 species